UUUAGAGCUUUUGUUUUCUGCCUGGCUGACCCAGCUGAGUUCUGCUGAGUAACACAAGUGGGUUAGGUUCCCAAGCACCUGUCAUGCAUGGAGGAGCUCAUCACUAAUCAAUAAGAUUUUUGCCUUGACUACCCUUAUCUGUAUCCACUGUAAUGAGAGAUUAGUUCUGACCAAGGUGCGGUUUGUUACCAUGGUUAAAACAGUGGAGAUUGACUGAUUUGAACUGAGGUAAUGGUCGUUUAGGUUGAGGAACUGAAGAAGAAGAACUGAGUAGCUACUCGUCAUUAGUGUAAAUGCAGAACACUAACCAGUAUGUUUGCACACAUUCACAACUAUAAGGUUAAUAGUCGAAUUUUUGUACAUUCAAAGAUGGCGUGUUAGUGUAACGUGUUAGUACCUAUGUUCCCCAGUGCCUGUACUUUCCAAGAUUUCUCAGCCAGGUCAAGUGCACAGACUCACGCACAUGCCACAGCUAGUCUCGCAGCUCAUCUUUUGGCUCCCAGAGGCUCUUUUCACAGGUGGCCAUCCAAUAAAAACACCAUCUUUUUUGAGCGUCAUCACCGCUGGUCAUCCAAUCACUGCGCUGGCCCAAUUGGAUGCUUCUUCCACCAUUAGAGGCUAAGCCAGUCCUGGUAGCAUGCGGGAUGACCGGAUGGGCUUAUCCGAUUUCAGCCUUCUCAUUCUACGUCAUCACCCCCAGGUCACCAAGCUCUGACCCCGCCUUUCAGGUGACACAACAUGGCGCAGGUUUCCACCACACUACUAAAACAAGACAGAUGAAAGUAGAGGAUGGAAGAGGGGAUACAUAUAGGGGCACUGCUAGAACGCAGUAAGUAAAACAAAAAAUAGGAUUGGACCAAUGAGAGGGUGCACCAAUGAGAGGGUCACCACUUCCCAUGGUGUCACUCCAGCCAGGGAGAGCUGAGCAGAAGGAGAGAGGAAGAGGAGGACGACAGGAGGAUAACAGCAAUGUGAUUCUUACGGAGUGUGCCCAAACCUAAGUUUACUGAUGCCAUUGUGUAGGUUCUUGAUGCUCUGGUCUGUCCAUUAAUCUAUUCUUCCCUAAUCUAACAGUAGGAAUGGAGAGAAAAGCUUGAAACAGACGCAAUUGUCUGUCGGACCAUUACUACCCUUGUCCGAACCUCGUAAGAGUCAAUUUAAUGAUGCUCUUAUUUAUGUCCUAAUGGGCUACCGUACUAUUGCAGCUCUGGCAGUGAACUAUGAAUUCAGCUUUAGCCAGGCAUACCUAUAGAAAGGGAGUAUCACAGGUUAACCGAGAGCCGUUACUCUGCACUAGAACUCCUGACCUCUUAGUUGAGCCCUACAUCUUAUACCUCAGGCCACAGGCUGACUUGGAUGUCUAGCACUGCGCUUAAAAUAUGAGGUCUUCUACUUUGGCCACAGCAAAGUUAGCCCCAUAUGGGCCCGGAGCAACAGCUCCAAAUGACAGUGAACCAAUUUGUGCCGUUAAUUGUUUGAUACUCUGUCUAACUGUGAGGAUAGAAAUAACUGGCGGCCAGUGUCAUGUCUUUUUUAUAUAGUGAUUCAAAUCAGAGAGAUUCUUGCUCGUCAAGAGGCAUCGGCUCAUUUCCCAAUUAACUUAAAGUUUUGCUUUCUCUUAUGAUGUCAUGGCUUCAAAAAACAUAAAUCUGAAGUUUUGUGGGGCUGACAAAAAAAGUACCUCUUGUUGGGUACAUUUGGCUCACAGCCAAUGUCUUUUUAAUCUGAUAGACUCUGUCUUGUGACUGGUUUAAAAAAAGAAAAAAAAAAGAAGAGAAAAAAAAAGAAAUGGAACACCGUGACCUCUGCCAUUUUAUGAACACAGCCUCUGGUGAUUUAACGCAUGUUUCCUCCUACUUUACUUAUCUUACUCUGUACGAUAAACUGAACUAAGUGUAAUAAACAAAUCUAAAAAUAGGGUUUCAGGUUCAUGUGAAAGCCAUCAAGCCACCGUUGGAUUACAAUGUUUAUGUCCUGUAAUCAGUUGAUGCUGUUAAAGGGGCAGACGUGGUCGUCUUGCCCUUUUUUCCUAUGCUGAUUUGGUGUGACGUGUUCAUGUCUCCUGACUGCCACGAGACUACAGGCCAACAAACCACUUUGCAGAACAAGCCAUUUAAUUGCGUUUCCUUUCCGGAUGGACCCUGACUGUGGGAGGGUCAAUGUUGUACAUCCUAUGUUGGUUUGUUUUACAGCUUUUGCUUCCUCGGGAUUAUGUCGUUGACACGGGCUUGCUACCCUGAGACUGCACACUCUUAUUUCAACAAGCAAAGAAAAUAUUAGUGUUUACUCUUGCCAAGGUUGAAUUACAUAUAAUAUAUAUCACAUUUCUAAUCAAACACCUCAUUGUUGUUAUAAACAGGACAUAUGAUGUAAAACCGGUUUGACACUUUCCCCUUUUCUUAUGUUUCUCAUAUUUCCUCUGUUAUGGACAUGUAAUAACACAUAGCCUUUAUUUAUAGGUUAUUACAUGACUAUGUUGUACUGAUUCAGUUUCUUACUUACUAUAUUAUCAACAUCAAAGGGUUUUAUGUUCUUUAUAGAGGAAUCACUGAUCCUAUGAAGGCCUCGUCCCCAGUUCUCAUGAUGACUUUUCGCCUUCGUGUUUUCAACCAAUUACUCUAUGCAUUAACAGUCGGCCAUGGGAACAGCCUGGGAGAGAUGAAGCCCUAAUAGCUGUCAACACCACCUAUGUGUGUGUCUGUGCCCUAGAUAGAACUUUCAUUGAUGGCAGUGUACUUCCUCAAGAGCAGCAGAUCAUUAACCUUUAAUGCUUAUGAAUGAGGUAGUCAAUGCUGAUGUUAUUGCCACCCAUAAGGCAUAGACCUAUCAAGGCACCAUGUUAUCUAUCAGCUUUAGUGCUGUGUAAUACGUAGUCAUUUUAAAUCAUUGCCAUAUUUUACAUACUGUACCUUUUUUGAGGUGGAUCUGGACAUUGCACAUUGCUGAAGGGUUAUGAAUGUAAUGUCAUGGAUGUAGGACUAAGCUAAAGAUACCAUUACGUGCCAUCUUUAAUAGGAAGAGACUGGAAGUACAAUGAUAUCGACGUAAGUGUAACUGUAUUUUGAGGGUCAGACCUCUGAAGAUUGAUGUGCCAUUGCCCUUUGAAGAGUUGUUACAUCACACAUAGCGAAGUGAAGCAUACUCCAUCUUAUCAAACCAAAUCGGAAGCAGUUUACAGCCAUUGGUAUCCGUGAGCAUAUGCAGUAUCCAUGACAACAAAGCAGGACAUAGCCAUAUAAAUGAUUUUGGAUGAGUACAUGGAAAAUCCAAACAACAAUAUGCUGAAAUUUAGUCGUUAGCCAUAACAGAGUGGAAUACUCGGAACAACGCAAGGUCAGUAGUGUGUGGCUAAAGGGACUGGUUUUCUUCCGUCCAGGCCUUGAUGACGUCACACUCCGUCUGAGUGAUUUAUAGAGUUCUAGUCACACAAUCCCUGACCUUUCCUUUGGUAGGAUUCCAGUUUUUCUUUUCUGAUGUCCAGAACAAAAACUUAGCAGCUGCAUCUGAGCAGCUUCCACAUUGACAAAUCUGUGUCCUGAAACAAUUCCUGUAAUGUAAUGCAGUCAUUCAAACAACUGAAGGUAUAGUCUACCCUUUUUUCAAUGGAAACCACUUUAUCUGUCUGUCUACUAUCAUAUCAAUCUGUCUUUGUUUCCUCAAAUGGCUAAUUCAAGACCUAUAGUUCCUUCCAUUACAAUUUUACAGAACAGUGGCAUGGGACUUCCAGGCCUGUUUCCCUGACGUCCUGUCAAAACCCUCCAUGCUCUGUAACCUCUUUAUUCCUUUCAUUAAAGCUUCUCUCUACCAUUUAAGAGGGCCAAUCAGUGACAUAUCGUCAUUCUGUUCCUUUGCCAAGCCCAUGUCAACAAGUUGACACUGAGGCAACUCAACCCUGACCCAUGGUGAGACAGCGGGGACAUCCGUGCUCCGUACUGCCACAACCAGCAGAGCUCAGCUGGCCAUGAUUGAUACUGAUGCUAUUAUUAGCCUAGGUCAGAGGGACUGUGUCAUGGUAUUGUGAGAAGGGCAUUUCUCUGCGAGUUACAAGGCACUUUUAGAGUUUUGCUGUGUUAGCGGAUCAACCCGAUUUAACGCAGCCUGAGUCUCAUGACUAUGUGUAAGUUAGCACAGUCCCUGACCAUGAAAGCACCUUCUAUCUGCGUUAAACAAAGAAUACAUUAAAGAAGCCAUGUGGUUACUGCUGCGGGACGUAUUGUAGUGGUUCAGGUGUGAAAGAGUGUGAAAGAGAUGUCAGUAGAUGAACAAAGGCUUUGAUUUCAGCAGUCAUUUGUUGUAAUAAAAUGUUUUAUGUUACCUUUAA